AGUAGUCCUGUGUGGGACCCGGAAUGGCUCCCUUCCUACUCAAGGUACUCUAUUAUUCUAUGACCCUGAGUGCAAAAUAACAUCUGCCUUCUAAUUCAGAGCGAUAUUUUUCAGUGGUAAAGCACUGGAUUUGACAGUGUGCACCGUCGAGCUUGGAGCGUCCCUAGGCAGCCUGCCUGUGACUUCAGUGGUAAAACUGAUUUUAUGAGAUCUGGCUGUUCCUCUAGAUGCCCUGAUAAGCAGCGCAUAUGUGUGUGAAAGGAAGGGAAACAGGAAUUCCUUUCGGAAGGGUGACAGCUUUAGUAAGACUAAAACAUCCAGGAUAUAUGUUACAGACUCCACUGAUGCUCCUGGCCUCCUAACAAGUACACUAUUCUUGGUAUCUCCAUGAAUCUAUGUCUGCCACAAAGCUUGUGAAUGCCUUCUCUGAAGCAUGGAAUUACCUGCAGUGGUGUCCUGGGAAUUUCUAGAACAGGCAUCUGAUCUUGGCAAUGGAAGAUGAGUAAGGAAAAGGCAAUUCCAACAUGCUGAGACUGCUACAAAUGUCCAAGUGACCUAAAUUUUAUAGGUCAGUAAUGGUGAUGCGUAUUAAUUAAAAUGUCCUAUCCACCCAUUACAUGCCAGCCACUGUUUCUGUGAGAGCUGCUCCAAAAGUAGUGCCUUGGUGAUAUGGCAGUAGAGAAUGAAUCUUCCCAGAGCAUUCCAUUCCGUGUUUUUGCCAUGUGGCAGAUGGCAGCAGAAAGGCACUCCGACAGUGUGGCAUCUGACAUGGAAACGCAUAUGAAACUGUCACUGUCUGACACUGAAUUCCUCUAUGGCCCCAGUUGAUAUUAACUGACACUUGCUGAUGUUUAUGGAGUCCAAGCAGUGGAUGUGAUCACAAUGGCUGGUGUGUUUCAGCAGCAAAGACAGUGACAGUGGAUCAUCUCUGCUGGUGCAGAUUUUUGUGAACAUGGCAUAAAGUCUCCAGUUCAUCACUGGCAAAAAUGCACGACUAAUGUUGGUGACUGUGUUGAAAAAGAGUGUUUGUAGCAGAGAAUUUAG